UGCGAUGUGGCUUAGUGGUUAGAACGUUUGACUCGCACCAUCGGGGGUCGGGGGUUCAAAAUCCAGCCUCUGCAC